rnacentral:rRNA from 1 species
AUUGAACGCUGGCGGCAGGCCUAACACAUGCAAGUCGAGCGGAUGAAGGGAGCUUGCUCCUGGAUUCAGCGGCGGACGGGUGAGUAAUGCCUAGGAAUCUGCCUGGUAGUGGGGGAUAACGUCCGGAAACGGGCGCUAAUACCGCAUACGUCCUGAGGGAGAAAGUGGGGGAUCUUCGGACCUCACGCUAUCAGAUGAGCCUAGGUCGGAUUAGCUAGUUGGUGGGGUAAAGGCCUACCAAGGCGACGAUCCGUAACUGGUCUGAGAGGAUGAUCAGUCACACUGGAACGGAGACACGGUCCAGAGUCCUGAGGGAGGCAGCAGUGGGGAAUAUUGGACAAUGGUCGAAAGCCUGAUCCAGCCAGGCCGCGUGUGUGAAGAAGGUCUUCGGAUUGUAAAGCACUUUAAGUUGGGAGGAAGGGCAGUAAGUUAAUACCUUGCUGUUUUGGCGUUACCAACAGAAUAAGCACCGGCUAACUUCGUG